UAGGGAAUAUUAGUAAUGGGCGAAAGCCUGAACUAGCAACGCCGCGUGUGCGAAGAAGGCCUUCGGGUUGUAAAGCACUUGUUGAGAGGAUGAGGAAGGACGGUACUCUCAGAAUAAGUCUCGGCUAACUACGUGCCAGCAGCCGCGGUAACACGUAGGAGGCGAACGUUAUCCGGAUUUACUGGGCGUAAAGCGCGUGUAGGUGGUUUGGUAAGUAGGGCGUGAAAGCUCCUGGCUCAACUGGGAGAGGCCGUUCUAAACUGCCGAACUGGAGGAUGGUAGAGGGAGGUGGAAUUCCGGGUGUAGCGGUGGAAUGCGCAGAUAUCCGGAGGAACACCAGUGGCGAAAGCGGCCUCCUGGACCACUCCUGACACUCAGACGCGAAAGCUAGGGUAGCAAACGG
rnacentral:rRNA from 1 species